rnacentral:misc_RNA from 1 species
GAACGCACCUUGCACUCCUUGGUAUUCCGAGGAGUACGCCUGUUCGAGUGUUAUGAAGCUCUCAAAACGCAAUUGGCUUAAAACCUGAUUGUUGUUUUGGAUUUGAACUUUGCCGUGUUACAACGGCUGGUUUUAAAAGCAUUAGCUGGUACUAGAACGAAUUGGUUCUACUCAACGUGAUAAUUAUCUGAUCGUUGAGGACAUUCCUUUCACGAGGAAUGGCCAUAGUAAAUUCAAUGGACUGCUUCUAACUUGGCUUUAAUUCUUAAUUGGAUUAACCACUUUUCAAAUCUGACCUCGAAUCAGGUGGGACUACCCGCUGAACUUAAG